AGCUUCAACAGAGGGGAACGAGAGAGGCUCUUCUCACGAUCACUCAAGGUCGGUUCGGCCGAUCGUGGCAAGUGGGAGAUGCGGUUAGAAAGAAGGAAGAAAGAGAAGGUUUCGAUUGUGGCAAGUGGGGAGAAAACGGUAACACUUGCUCUCUCUCGCUCGUCAUUUUCAGUAGGAGUUCAGGAGAAGCUUCGAGAAGAACGUCGAGAGCUAUAAAAAUGGAACGUCUCCUCACGCCAGAGGGGGUUCUUCUCGUUUUUCGGAGUUUGGGAAUAGAUGGAGGGAGGAAAGGGUUUCUUGACCAAUGGAGAGAUUAGAGAGAACAGUCUCUGAAGGAGGAGGGAUUUCCCUUCUUUUUCUUUUGGGUUUCGUUCGACUGGUCAAGGGUUUGAGAGGGGUCCAGAGAGCAGAGAGAAAUCGAACGAGCAAGAGAAGGAGAGUGAAAGAGCUUCGCUCCAUAAUGGAGAUUCAAUCUUCUGAGUGAGGGUUUCAAGGUCGAGCGAUAGAGAUUGGAGAGAGAUUUUUUCUUCUUUUUUCUUUCUUGUUCUGUUUGGUUAGCAGAAGGGAGCAAAUCUGAGAGGGAACCUACAUGGCUUCCUUGAUUUGAAGUCGGCUUCUCCAUUCUAUUCGCCUGCAACCUCUUCCGAUCUCAAUCCUCGGCUAGAUUGAAGAUCGGUCAGAAGCAUGGCGGCAGUUCUUGAGGCCUGCUUCACUCUACGGUUCUGGUUGGAGCCGUAGAUCAUUCCAGAAUCAGGAGUCCUUUGAUCCCUCAGGCGCAUUUGCUGAAAUACCUUUCCCGAUCCAGUCUAGGUUUGUCUUCAAAUCUUCAGAAAACAAAGGGUAGUGGUUGUUCGUGAUCCAUGGUCUACGGGUUGCAUUGUUGUGGCUGACAAUAUUUGGAGGGAAAGGAGUGAUCGAUGUCAUGAAGGAACCAUUAAAUCCAAUGACAUAGUUUUUGAGAAGAUCAUACGUGAUGUGCAGGAAGUUAGCUUCUCAUUAUUUGGUGUGAUUUAACAGCUAGCAGACUUGAAUUGUUGUUGCUGAUUGGGAUUAUCUACUCUCCACGGUAAGCCCUUAUCGAUUCUAAAAGUUUUUUGGUGUAAACCAAAUUGGGUAUGGACAACAUUGAAUGUGGAUGGUUGCUCCUUGGGCAAUGCAGAAAGAUCUGGAACGGGUGGAAUCCUUCGAAAUCACAGGGGUAAUGUAGUGAGUUGUUUAAGAUGUUCUUAGGGAUCCACUCAAACUAUUACGCUGAGUUCAAAGCCUUGAUUGAAGGAAUUCUUAAAGCUAAAGAGCUCUAGGUUGGUGCACUUUGGAUUGAAACAACUCGACAAUGGUGGUUCUAGCCAUUCAUAGCCAUUCUAUUCCCUGGUACGCAGCUCAAGAUUGAAUAACAGUGAAGUGUUUUUUAGAUUCUAUAAGAUGAAGGAUCUCUCACUGCUUUCGUGAAGCAAAUGUAUGGUGGAUUUUCUUGCUAAGGAAGCAACAAAAUCUGGUUUAUAGGACACCAUAUCAUAUUUACUUCCCACAUUAGUUUAGAGAUUGCACAUAUAUUGCUGAAUCGAGACCUAGGUUUCGAUGUUGUUAAUCUUUAUUGAUUUAUUCUCCCCUAUUGGUGGCCAUGCCAAAGGUGGGGGUUUAUAAAUCAGUUAUUUGAGUUGUAUUUAUUUUUUCUUCUAUUCUUAA